AGCAGCCGCGGUAAUUCCAGCUCCAAUAGCGUAUAUUAAAGUUGUUGCAGUUAAAAAGCUCGUAGUUGAAUUUCGGGGUUAGUAGAUUGGUCAUGCUUCUGGUAUGUACUGGUCUCACUGAUUCCUCCUUCCUGAUGAUCCGUAAUGCCAUUAAUUUGGUGUUGCGGGGAAUUUGGACUGCUACUUUGAAAAAAUUAGAGUGUUUAAAGCAAGCUAACGCUUGAAUACAUUAGCAUGGAAUAAUGAAAUAGGACGUUCGAUCCUAUUUUGUUGGUUUCUAGGAUUGACGUAAUGAUUAAUAGGGAUAGUUGGGGGCAUUAGUAUUCAAUUGUCAGAGGUGAAAUUCUUGGAUUUAUUGAAGACUAACUACUGCGAAAGCAUUUGCCAAGGAUGUUUUCAUUAAUCAAGAACGAAAGUUAGGGGAUCGAAGACGAUCAGAUACCGUCGUAGUCUUAACCAUAAACUAUGCCGACUAGGGAUCGGAUGAUGUUAAUUUUUUAAUGACUCA
rnacentral:rRNA from 1 species